ACUCAAAUGAAUUGACGGGGGCCCGCACAAGCGGUGGAGCAUGUGGUUUAAUUCGACGCAACGCGAAGAACCUUACCCAGACUUGACAUUGAUAGAAUCCUGUAGAAAUACGGGAGUGCCCUUCGGGGUCUUGAAAACAGGUGCUGCAUGGCUGUCGUCAGCUCGUGUCGUGAGAUGUUGGGUUAAGUCCCGCAACGAGCGCAACCCUCGUCGUUAGUUGCCAACAGGUAAAGCUGGGCACUCUAGCGAGACUGCCGAUGUUAAAUCGGAGGAAGGUGGGGAUGACGUCAAGUCCUCAUGGCCUUUAUGUCUGGGGCUACACACGUGCUACAAUGGUAACUACAAAGUGACGCGAACUCGUGAGAGGGAGCAAAUCGCAAAAAAGUUAUCUCAGUUCAGAUCGGAGUCUGCAACUCGACUUCGUGAAGUCGGAAUCGCUAGUAAUCGCGGAUCAGAAUGCCGCGGUGAAUACGUUCCCGGGCCUUGUACACACCGCCCGU
rnacentral:rRNA from 1 species